AUGGCUGUCAGUGUAAAUGAAGAAAGAUGUUUUUGUUGCCAGAUGGUGCAGCUACGACAUCUGCUAGCAGAAGCUAACCGGGCCAUGCUAACCAGUCAAACUCUGACCCCUGGUUUCCCCCUUGUGAACGGCUCUGCCUGCAGGUCUCAUGAUUCACGCUGAAACUCUGACACUAAUGACUGCAUUACUGCGGAUGGUGUGGGUGUUUCAGAACGGCUCCUGCUUUCAAUCGGUGUCUGAGGAUGCUGGAGACGCUGUGGGAGGGUGAAACUUUGGACUGCUUGUAAUUAUGACAAAUAAAAAGAGAGAAAAAGUUUUCAAAUAUGUCUCUCUUUAACCCUCUCCAACUUUCUAGUCUUUCUGUAUUUUUUCAUUUGAUCCACAUUACUUAAUUUCUUUCUCCAGGCAUAGCACAGACUCUGUCACGACAAACCUCCAGUGCAAAUAAAGUCAAAAUUACAUCAGGCAACAUUUCUACAAAUGCAACACACCUAAAAGAUAGAAACCUCUAAGGACAGAGGUGUUUUCAACCCAUAUUACGUUCCAAAAGAUCCACAAUCCUGAGGCAUUGUGGCAAUCAUUACAACAUCAGCCUCAGCCUUCCUUUGAAUACACAUAAUCAGUUCUGCGGAAUGAUCAAAAGCAGAAACAUGAAAGAAUUUCACAUUUUAUGAAAGCAAAGAUUAAACAGUAGGCAUGUAAAAAAUGCUGUCUGAAAAGUUCAUAUUACAUUAUAAAUCCCAAAACAGACGAGACAACCAACUUUAUUAGCAUAGUUUUUUUUAACAUCACUUUUCAACACUAUAUUCUAAUAUUCAGAAUCAGACUUAA
ensembl:lncRNA